rnacentral:misc_RNA from 1 species
GACAGCAGUCAGCUGUCGUGCCAAGGGAAGUGCCAGAAGAUAUGUGCCAUAUUGAUGAUAUUCCCAAAAUAACUGGUGUGUUAGAGGAAUUUAUUCCAGGAAAGAAUGGCUGUGAAGUUUUUAAAAAGUGAGUUAACAUUUCGUCUGAUGGAUUAAGAAGACUACAUUGUGGACCCAGAGAUGGGAUUAUAAACUGUUUUUCAUUGUUUCAAACUAUAACAUUAUCUAUGGAGGCAGCUACAAAUGUCCAUGAUCACAGAAUAUUCAUUUAAAAGCACUACAAACAAUAUUAACUGACAAAGAAUACCUUUAUACGGAUGAAUUUUAAAAAUUUUCUUGUAACCAAGUCUGUGCAUUACUGGUAAUGUCUUUUUAAAAGAUUGAUAUCAUUAUUUGAUUUGUCAUGCACACAAGCAUAAUACAGUGUAUACAUAUUUUUGUGAAACAAAUGUUUUAAAAAAUGUAAACCAAUUAAUUCAUAACUUUUUUUAUUGUAACAACACAUUUCAGACAUUUUCAUUUUUUAUGUUGCAUGCUGUUUCUCAAAACUGUGAAUAAAUAGACAGCACUAUAUAAUACAUGUGAUUUCAUUUGUAUAAUUACCAUAUCAUAUCCAUUUCUUUUUUGUGUGUCACAAGAUUUGCAAAAAUGCGAAAAAAAUGUAGCAUUUUUAAUUUGCAUCAGUCAUUUUUUGUGAUUUUAAAAUUUCUCACAGAACAUAAUUACAAGAUUUUUCUGCGUAUUCAAUAUUUUGAGAUUUAAAUUAUCAGAUAUACCGUAUGAACCUAUUAUGAAUUGCAGUAUAUUUUUUACAUAAUCCUUAUAUGGAAAUAAUUAAAAAAAAGAAAGAAAG